CAAAGGUUUGGUCCUAGCUUUAAUAUCAGUUUUAACUAAACUUACACAUGCAAGUAUCCGCAUCCCUGUGAGAAUGCCCCUACAGCUCUCUUACGAGAACAAGGAGCAAGCAUCAGGCACAAAUAUAAAUUUAGCCCAUAACGCUUUGCUUAGCCACACCCCCAAGGGAUUUCAGCAGUGUCAGACAUUAAGCUAUGAGUGUAAACUCGACUUAAUUAUGGUUAAUUAAGGGCCGGUAAAACUCGUGCCAGCCACCGCGGUUAUACGGGAGACCCAAAUUGAUAAACAACGGCGUAAAGAGUGGUUAGGAAUUAAAAUGAACUAAAGCCAUACACCCUCUUAGUUGUGAUACACUGAUGAACGGGGGAGGAUCUAACACGAAAGUAGCUUUAAAAUACUGAUCCACGAAAGCUGAGAAACAAACUGGGAUUAGAUACCCCACUAUGCUCAGUCGUAAACUAUGGUAGUAAUCUACAAUUAUCUACCCGCCUGGGAAUUACGAGCGAAAGUUUAAAACCCAAAGGACUUGGCGGUGCUUUAGACCCCCCUAGAGGAGCCUGUUCUAGAACCGAUAAUCCCCGUUCAACCUCACCCUCUCUUGCACUUUAUUCAGCCUAUAUACCGCCGUCGCCAGCUUACCCUGUGAGAGACGAAUAGUAAGCACAAUUGGUAAAACCCUAAACGUCAGGUCGAGGUGUAGCGAAUGAGGGGGAAUGAAAUGGGCUACAUUCACUAAUACUAGUGAAAACGAAUGUUGUUCUGAAAUUAACAACUGAAGGAGGAUUUAGCAGUAAGUGGGGGGUAGAGCACCCCACUGAAACCGGCCCUGAAGCGCGCACAUACCGCCCGUCACUCUCCACAGUAAAAAAUUACAUGAUAACUAAUAAUUACAGAAAAAAAAACAAAGAGGAGACAAGUCGUAACAUGGUAAGCGUACUGGAAAGUGCGCUUGGUAAAAA
rnacentral:ncRNA from 1 species